rnacentral:rRNA from 1 species
UACGGGGGGAGCAAGCGUUGUUCGGAUUUACUGGGCGUAAAGGGCGCGUAGGCGGCCACCGCAAGUCGGUUGUGAAAUCUCUGGGCUUAACCCAGAAAGGUCAACCGAUACUGCGGGGCUAGAGUGCAGAAGGGGCAACUGGAAUUCUCGGUGUAGCGGUGAAAUGCGUAGAUAUCGAGAGGAACACCUGCGGCGAAGGCGGGUUGCUGGGCUGACACUGACGCUGAAGCGCGAAAGCGUGGGGAGCAAACAGG